CAGCAGGUGGCCAAAUAUGAAUAUACUCCAAAUUGGCCUAUCUGAACAGACUAUUCAUCAAGAAGUCACUUUUCUGGCAAAGUGGAGUUUGUGGUAUUAGGAGGUCAAACCAGAAAGUGCUGCUUCCACCCAUAGCUGAGGGCCAGGAGGUUACAUUAUGGAUAAAUCUUUUUAACCUAGCUGCUCUGUUUAGGACAAUGACAACCAAUUGCUCAGGAGACACUGCAGAAAGUCUGCUCUUGUUAUUUCUGUGUUGUUAUCAGCAGGUGCCAUUCUGAUACCAUUAUGACAUCACUCUGUUUUUAGGGGAAGGGGCAGCUAGUGGAAGGUCUCAAGUCAGGGGUGGGAAGCUGAGUGAUGUCUGCUGUAGCCACUGUCCCACUGUGUAGAUUUAGAGACACACUGGCAGUGAAAUUGGAGACCCGAACCCCAGCCAAAGCAGGAAUGGGACUCCUAUUACUUACCCAUAUCUCAACUCCCCAGUAAGAACCAAUGUGAAAAUGCUUUGAUUCUCCUGGGUGAGGUGAAAUAUUUACGGCUUCAUGAGCUACAGGAGAACUGAAAUAAUAUUUGGGAUUCUCUCAGGGACCUAGAUAUCUCUAAAAUGUGGACUGGUGAGAGACCAACAGUAAUAAGGGCAAGUGCAAACUGUCUGAGGAGGAAAAAAU
rnacentral:lncRNA from 1 species